rnacentral:tRNA from 1 species
UCCCUGGAGGACUAGUGGUUAGGCCACAGUGCUCUCACAGCUGCGGCCUGGGUUUGAUUCCUGGCCAGGGAA